ensembl:snRNA U6 U6 spliceosomal RNA
GUGCUCACUUUGGCACAUAUACUAAAAUUGGAGUGAUGUGGAGAAGACAAGCAUGGCCCCUGAGUAAGGAUGAUACGCAAAUUCGUAAAGUGCUCCAUAUUUAA